rnacentral:rRNA from 1 species
UGCGUAGGUGGCUUUGUAUGUCGGAUGUGAAAGCCCACGGCUCAACCGUGGAACUGCAUUCGAAACUGCGGAGCUAGAGUGCAGGAGGGGAGAGCGGAAUUCUUGGUGUAGCGGUGAAAUGCGUUGAUAUCAAGAAGAACACCGGUGGCGAAGGCGGCUCUCUGGAAUGUUACUGACACUGAGGCACGAAAGCUGGGGGAGCGAACAGGAUUAGAUACCCUGGUAGUCC